rnacentral:misc_RNA from 1 species
UCUUCAGAUGAUGAUCCCAAGCCUUCUGGCGAUCUGCUCAUAAUAACUCCUCGGAAGGUUUGAUAAGCUUUUUGGGUGGUGGGGAGCCUUUCUCUUUGUCUAGAAGGCUUUUCUUUUUGUUGUCAGAUGAUGCCGGGGAAGGUUUUUCCGGUAUUCUCCGGAGGGCUUGUAGCUCAGUUGGUUAGAGCGCGCGCUUGAUAAGCGUGAGGUCGGAGGUUCAAGUCCUCCCAGGCCCACCAAUUUAUGCUUGGCCAUAGAGCGUCUUUAACGUUUUUGAUUUUCUGUUUGGGAAGAUUGGUUUUAUCGAGUAUUUGUUUAUUGAUAUUUGGGGCGUUAAGGUGGAUGUUCAGGUGCCGAGGGUAUUCGAGCUCUUUUGUACUUUUUAGGGGCCGUAGCUCAGCUGGGAGAGCACCUGCUUUGCAAGCAGGGGGUCGUCGGUUCA